rnacentral:rRNA from 1 species
CACGUAGGGCGCAAGCGUUGUCCGGAAUUAUUGGGCGUAAAGAGCUCGUAGGCGGUCUGUUGCGUCUGCUGUGAAAACUCGGGGCUUAACCCCGAGCUUGCAGUGGGUACGGGCAGACUAGAGUGCGGUAGGGGAGACUGGAAUUCCUGGUGUAGCGGUGAAAUGCGCAGAUAUCAGGAGGAACACCGGUGGCGAAGGCGGGUCUCUGGGCCGAUACUGACGCUGAGGAGCGAAAGCGUGGGGAGCGAACAGG